AUUGAACGCUGGCGGAAUGCUUUACACAUGCAAGUCGAACGGUAGAGGGGGCAACCCCUCGAGAGUGGCGAACGGGUGAGUAAUAUAUCGGAACGUGCCCAGUCGUGGGGGAUAACGUAGCGAAAGUUACGCUAAUACCGCAUACGAUCUAAGGAUGAAAGCGGGGGAUCGCAAGACCUCGCGCGAUUGGAGCGGCCGAUACCAGAUUAGGUAGUUGGUGGGGUAAAGGCCGAACAAGCCAACGAUCUGUAGCUGGUCUGAGAGGACGACCAGCCACACUGGAACUGAGACGCGGUCCAGACUCCUACGGGAGGCAGCAGUGGGGAAUUUUGGACAAUGGACGCAAGUCUGAUCCAGCCAUUCCGCGUGCAGGAUGAAGGCCCUCGGGUUGUAAACUGCUUUUGUACGGAACGAAAAGGUCUCUCUUAAUACGGGGGGCUCAUGACGGUACCGUAAGAAUAAGCACCGGCUAACUACGUGCCAGCAGCCGCGGUAA
rnacentral:rRNA from 1 species